rnacentral:rRNA from 1 species
GCUUACGGCCACACCGCCUGGUUCACGCUUGAUCUCGGAAGCUAAAAUAGGUUUGGCCUGGUUAGUACUUGGAUGGGAGACCGCCUGGGAAUACCAGGUGCUGUAAGAU